rnacentral:rRNA from 1 species
AGAGUUUGAUCAUGGCUCAGGAUGAACGCUGGCGGCGUGCCUAAUACAUGCAAGUCGAACGAGGUGCUUUUGUAGCAAUACGAGAGUAUCCUAGUGGCGAACGGGUGAGUAACGCGUUGGUGACCUACCCCAAAGUGUGGGAUAACAGUCCGAAAGGAUUGCUAAUACCGCAUGUGGUCUUCGGAUUUAGAAACCGACGACUAAAGGAGCAAUUCGCUUUGGGAGGGACCUGCGUCCCAUCAGCUAGUUGGUGAGGUAAUGGCUCACCAAGGCGACGACGGGUAGGGGACCUGAGAGGGUGGCCCCCCACAAUGGAACUGAAACACGGUCCAUACACCUACGGGUGGCAGCAGUAGGGAAUAUUGCACAAUGGGCGAAAGCCUGAUGCAGCAACGCCGCGUGUGCGAUGAAGGUCUUCGGAUCGUAAAGCACUUUUCUGCGAGAUGAGAAAGGACAGUAUCGUAGGAAUAAGUCUCGGCUAACUACGUGCCAGCAGCCGCGGUAACACGUAGGAGGCGAGCGUUAUCCGGAUUCACUGGGCGUAAAGCGCGUGCAGGCGG